GGAGGGAGAAGGAUGGCGAGGAGGGGGGAGGGGGAGAGGGAGGGGAGCAGGGGCUCAGGCAGCCCCGGUUUUCCUCCGCGUCCUAAUGACCCAGAUGUGCAGCUGCGGGCGAUGACUGCUUGGGGAACUGCAAAUCACCGGCCCCGGCGGGCUCUCCCUUGGACGGGGCGAGGUGGGGAGGAAAGAGCUGGAGAGAGGAAAGGAGAGAGGCAGGGAGUUCGAGGAACCCAGGGAAGAAGCAGGUCUAGACAGAGUACCCACAAAACCCCACACUGGGACAAAGAGAAGGACGCCCGGAUUCUCCCUGCCAGCUCCUCCCACCCGCUUCCAGUCCACCAGCCCUUCUCCUGCUCUGAGCACCUGGACGCCCGCUCUGGACAUUGUCUCCCCACCCCCACCUUGGACCACGCUGGACCCCAAGGGCGACGGCCGCCUGCAGCUGGGUACCCUUGCAUGCAAAACGAGGGGCUGGGGUGUCACCCCCAAGAGGGACAGAAUGAAGGAGGAGGAUCAGAGAGACCUGGAAGUGAAUCCUGAGAGCGUCUGAAGCUGGACUUAGUUAUAUGCAUUUGGUCUUUUCUGGUCUUUCCUUAUAUUUUUAUGCUACUGUCCUGCUAACCAUUGAAUGCAGCCCUUGCUUCGUAGGUCUCUCCCAGUGUCCCUGUCCCUGCCCUGUUCUUGCUGUAGCUGCUGGUGGGUGUGUAUGUGGGGGUGGGGGUGGGGGCUGGGGAGUCAGGGACCAGAGCUUCCUCUGGAAGCUCAGAGGGGACCAGGCGUUUUCACCACAGCUGAGCAGGUGGGACAAGCACCCCCAGCCCUCCGGCACUCGGGCCCAGCGGGAUUUUGCCAAGGUGUCGAGGGCUGGCAGGGCCAUGUGGCUGUUUGAUUUCCCCCCACUUCCAAACUAGUUGAAAUUACACACCAAGCAUCGAUUUAAUUAAGUUUUCCGGUGUGUGGCAUAAUUAGGAAGACACACGACUGGAACAGGGUGGGCGGGCCCAUCCCAGUUCCUGCCUGUUAGAAUUCUCAGCCCUCAGGCCACAAAAUAUGGCAAGUCGUAGGAUGGGGGAUGCAGGAGAUGGAGAGCCAGCCGGAGCUGCCACCUCGCUCCGCCAGCUUCUGUCUCCCAAGUGAUGGGAGGGGGGCAGGUGGCCCUGCCUCUACAGGGACUCUCCCCCACACCUGGUGCCAGGCAUUGAACUUGAGUGAAGCUCAGGGAGCUUGUCACCCUCAUGGGGACAUCAGAAGGGACAGUAUGGAGUUAGAGAGGGGCCUUGUUGUUGCGGUAGGAUCAGUGCUUUAUCUAUAAGGACGUGCUCCCGGGACAGAGUCACUCGGGGCCUGUUUGCCACAGGGACUGACAGCCUCU
rnacentral:lncRNA from 1 species